rnacentral:misc_RNA from 1 species
AGUGUCCAAAUCAAGCAACUUGGCAACCGAAUCUGACCAGGCUACAAGCUCGGGAUUCUCAACUUCAGCAGACGGAGAUAUUCUUGUGUAACAUGCAUGUAAUACCUCACGAGGCAUGAUAUCAGUUCUUGGGUCUCCCGGUAGCUCCCUCACAAACGAGUGAUCCCAGUUCAGAUCCUCGAGCUUCAGCAGCGGCCCCUCGCCGCUCGUCUCUACAGUCCCUCCAUUAUCAACGCCCUUAGCCUGAUCCCGAACAUCCGCCGGAGAAUCCAUCGUCGCGGCGCUGGAGAAGCACUUCCAA